ACGAUUUUCUCCUCCCAGAUUUCUCUUCGUCUACUGUUCUUGUGUUCAUCAAUCCAUACGAUUCUCUCUUCCCUCCCAUCGAUUCCCUUCUUCAUUUCUCUACAAUUUCAGGUUUCGUUUCUGCUCGGAGUCAUCCCUGUCUUCAUAGCAUGGAUAUACUCAGAGUUUCUGGAGUACAAGAGGUCUUCAUUGCACUCUAAAGUGUUAUUGAGUUAGACUGUAGCAAAGCAAUACUCUGCUCGGCAAAGGAUACAUCCACCUCCUGAAACUGCAGAAAAACCCUUCAGA